rnacentral:piRNA from 1 species
CAAACUCCUCAAAUCAGAGUCUGGUC